rnacentral:rRNA from 1 species
GGUCGAUAGUCUUUCGCCCCAUGCGCAGAUUUGACGAUCGAUUUGCACGUCAGAACCGCUGCGAGCCUCCACCAGAGUUUCCUCUGGCUUCACCCUAUCCACGCAUAGUUCACCAUCUUUCGGGUCCGAACAGUUAUGCUCUUACUCAAAUCCAUCCGAAGACAUCAGGAUCGGUCGAUGAUGCACCCGUAAGGGCUCUCACCUCCGUUCACUUUCAUUACGCUUGAGGGUUUAACACCCAAAAACUCGCAUAAAUGUUCGACUCCUUGGUCCGUGUUUCAAGACGGGUGGCUGAUGACCAUUAUGCCAGCAUCCUAGCCGAAGCGCGGUCCUCAGUCCCAGCGGCCGUAUUACACAGCAGGCUAUAACACUCCCGGAGGAGUCACAUUCCUGAAGUCUUUAUCCGGCCGCCAAAACUGAUGCUGGCCUCAACCAAGCGGAGUGCACCGGUGAGAACACCGGAUGAUCCGCAAGGCAAAGGUCUGGUCAUAAGCCCUUCCCUUUCAACAAUUUCACGUACUAUUUAACCCUCUUUUCAAAGUGCUUUUCAUCUUUCGAUCACUCUACUUGUGCGCUAUCGGUCUCUGGCCGGUAUUUAGCUUUAGAAGAAAUUUACCUCCCAUUUAGAGCAGCAUUCCCAAACUACUCGACUCGUCGAAGGAGCUUUACAGAGGCUCGGUAUCCAAUCGUACGGGGCUCUCACCCUCUAAGGCGUCCUGUUCCAAGGAACUCGAAAGGUACCUAACCAAAAGCAUCCUCUACAAAUUACAAUUCGGACCAGAAGGCCAGAUUUCAAAUUUGAGCUGUUGCCGCUUCACUCGCCGUUACUAGGGCAUACCUGUUGUUCUUAUU